CCAGUGAGGGUGAAGAACCAGAGCAACAGCAAUAGCAUCAUGGAAGCCAAGUGAGCAAGGACUCCAGCAGGGCAGCUCGUCAGCUGCCGUGGGAGACAGGUCAGGUCCGCUAAGGCUGGAUUUGCCAUGAGAGUAAGCGAACAUCUCACUGGCCCAGACAUCACUGAACCACACCUACGUGGACUACAUCAAAUGACAUGGGAUUUGGAGAGGGGAUUUUUUAUGGUGUUUGUUUCUUUGGAUUUUCUUGUAGUGCUGGGUUAGAUCCCACAGCUUUACCUGUUUCAAUAAAGAAAUGAUCAACUGGAAAUGUGUAUGUGGGGGGCAUGUUGUGCGAUUCUGGCUUAUUAAUCCUCUUCCUCCCCUCGUCUGUACCUCUGUCUUCAUGCCAAUCCCUCAUUGUCUGGAGGACAUUUUGAUAGGACAUUGGAAAGUCUGAGUCUCCAACGUUGCUCU
rnacentral:lncRNA from 1 species